rnacentral:lncRNA from 1 species
UUUGCACGAGUUUUGACAUAGUAAUCAGUAAAUCUAUAACCAAGGCGUUUAUCAAACUUCUUCAAUAUCUUGCGCAAGCCAAUGGCGUUGAUCUCUACAAAAUAGAGGAGGUUUAAUAGAUCUUGUCCAACUGCUCUAUAAGCUUCUCGCAGUUGCAUUAUUUUGUUAAUUUCAGGCUCCUGCUGUAAAUCAUUAUGCACCUCUCCAAGCUUUGCUAUCCUGCUUGCCAAAAGCCCUUGUUGCUCCAAUAAGAAAAGCACAAUGGUUUCAAUCUGAAUUUUAACAUAAGAAAUUAUUCAAACAAAUAUAAACNUUUGACAUAGUAAUCAGUAAAUCUAUAACCAAGGCGUUUAUCAAACUUCUUCAAUAUCUUGCGCAAGCCAAUGGCGUUGAUCUCUACAAAAUAGAGGAGGUUUAAUAGAUCUUGUCCAACUGCUCUAUAAGCUUCUCGCAGUUGCAUUAUUUUGUUAAUUUCAGGCUCCUGCUGUAAAUCAUUAUGCACCUCUCCAAGCUUUGCUAUCCUGCUUGCCAAAAGCCCUUGUUGCUCCAAUAGGAAAAGCACAAUAGUUUCAAUCUGAAUUUUAACAUAAGAAAUUAUUCAAACAAAUAUAAACAUAGCAGUGAGUUUGACAAAGUGAUUUAGUAUUUCAUCAUAAAGCAU